rnacentral:rRNA from 1 species
UUGAUCCUGGCUCAGAUUGAACGCUGGCGGAAUGCUUUACACAUGCAAGUCGAACGGUAGAGGGGGCAACCCCUUGAGAGUGGCGAACGGGUGAGUAAUAUAUCGGAACGUGCCCAGUCGUGGGGGAUAACGUAGCGAAAGUUACGCUAAUACCGCAUACGAUCUAAGGAUGAAAGCGGGGGAUCGCAAGACCUCGCGCGACUGGAGCGGCCGAUAUCAGAUUAGGUAGUUGGUGGGGUAAAGGCUCACCAAGCCAACGAUCUGUAGCUGGUCUGAGAGGACGACCAGCCACACUGGAACUGAGACACGGUCCAGACUCCCACGGGAGGCAGCAGUGGGGAAUUUUGGACAAUGGACGCAAGUCUGAUCCAGCCAUUCCGCGUGCAGGAUGAAGGCCCUCGGGUUGUAAACUGCUUUUGUACGGAACGAAAAGGUCUCUCCUAAUACGAGAGGCUCAUGACGGUACCGUAAGAAUAAGCACCGGCUAACUACGUGCCAGCAGCCGCGGUAAUACGUAGGGUGCAAGCGUUAAUCGGAAUUACUGGGGCGUAAAGCGUGCGCAGGCGGUUAUAUAAGACAGAUGUGACAUCCCCGGGCUCAACCUGGGAACUGCAUUUGUGACUGUAUAGCUAGAGUACGGUAGAGGGGGAUGGAAUUCCGCGUGUAGCAGUGAAAUGCGUAGAUAUGCGGAGGAACACCGAUGGCGAAGGCAAUCCUCUGGGACCUGUACUGACGCUCAUGCACGAAAGCGUGGGGAGCAAACAGGAUUAGAUACCCUGGUAGUCCACGCCCUAAACGAUGUCAACUGGUUGUUGGGUCUUAACUGACUCAGUAACGAAGCUAACGCGUGAAGUGGACCGCCUGGGGAGUACGGCCGCAGGUGAACUCAAGGAAUUGACGG